UCGCCCUGCUAAGAAGCGUGUGUGCUUGUACAAAGGCCGUUCAGCCUCGGGAUUUACACUCGGCUCGACACGGAUAUGUGAAGAAUGAAGGGACCCUGCAGCGAAACGGAGAGCGCAACCUCUGACUGAGUGCCUGUCUACACAGUCUGACCACCUGUUGAAGGGCUGUUUGAUGACGAUUUGGACUCCUCUGGGAGAUGAGGACACACCCACAUCUGUUCCAUACUGCAGCCAUGGAUGGUGUUACAGCUCCGAGUCAGCUUUGGGCCAUCAGACGCACACACUGGAAAACCAGCACCUGGACUUCAUGCAGGAGAGAUGGCCUCAGUGAUGUAGGUUCAUAAAAUUCAUCAGCAGCUGUGAAGAGAUGCAUUUGAAUAUCUUCUGGUUCCACUUUUCCUAACCUGGAAGCUGAGGAUGGCUGAUUUCUGACAAGGACACACACCUCAGCG